AAUGCUGGGUCCCGCCCCUUCUUCCGGCUGGGUUCCACUACCUGCAAGGCUGGAACUGACAGCCACUGUGCAAACAAAAAAAGGCAACAAGCAUGCUGGGACCAUUCUGUCUGCUGUUUGGGUCUCACUUGUCCUGACAACUAAAAAUCAUCAGUGGAAAGAGGUUGCAGCAUUUGAAAAUUAUCAAAAAGCAGCAGAGACAAGUUUGGGUGGUUUCCAGGGGAGAGGCACUGAAAGUGAUUGAUUCCUAUCAAAAGCACAAGGACAGGAAGCAAGAUCUCCCUAUGUUGCCAAGGUUGGUCUGGAACUCCUGAGCUCAAGUGAUCCUCCUGCCUCAGCCUCCUAAAGUGUUAGAAUUAUUGAUGUGAGCCACUGCAUGUGGUCAAUUCUGUCAUUCUUGACAACAAGGAUGAAGCUGGGAGAUACUGUGCUGAGUAGAAUAAACCAAGCACAAAAAGACAAAUGCCUCAUGAGCUCACUUAUAUGUAGAAUCUGUAACAGUUGAACUCAUCAGAGAGCAGAAUAAUGGUUACCAGGGACUAGCAGUAGGCUGGAGGGAGAGGUGGGGAGGUGUCGGUGAAAUAAUAUAAAAUUUCAGUUAGAAAAAAUAAGAUUUAAGAGAUCUAUUGCACAACAUGGUGACUAUAGUUAAUAACACUGUAUUGUAUUCUUGAAAAUCACUAAGAUUUGAAUAUUCUCACCACAAAAAAUAAGCAUAUGAGGUAAUGCAUAUGUUAAUGGCUCAAUUUAGCCAUUUCCAAUGAUUAAAUAUUUGAAAGCAGUUAUAUACCAUAAAUGUGUACCUUUUUUAAUUAAAAAAAUUAUUUUUUAGUAGGAUGCUCUGAAAUUGGAACUGAAUAUUACUUAAACCUUGAAGUCUGGGAACAGGGACAUAGUGCUUUUCCAAAACUGCCAGAAAGGUGUCUCUUAAUGCUCUAUGGAUAGAAGUGGCCACCUGUCUUACAGGCUGACGCUGGAGCCCAGCAAAAGUUAUUUUGGUAGACCCUUAUGGUUUAGCAAUGCAAAAAGAGAACCUACUUACUUUCUUUGUAUUAACUCUGGAUACUGAUAAACUAAAUAAAAAUACCUUGGCCAGGGAUAUUAAUUAUUUUGUUUAUUCAUAUAAAA
rnacentral:lncRNA from 1 species